rnacentral:rRNA from 1 species
AGAGUUUGAUCCUGGCUCAGGAUGAACGCUAGCGAUAGGCUUAACACAUGCAAGUCGAGGGGUAACGUGUUGGAAGCUUGCUUCCGAUGACGACGACCGGCGGAUGGGUGCGUAACGCGUAUGCAACUUGCCUCACAGUGGAGAAUAACCCGGAGAAAUCCGGACUAAUGCUCCAUACACUCUUAAGUACGCCUGUACAUGAGAGGAAAGAUUUAUCGCUGUGAGAUAGGCAUGCGUCCUAUUAGGUAGUUGGUGAGGUAACGGCUCACCAAGCCGACGAUAGGUAGGGGUGCUGAGAGGCAGAUCCCCCACAUUGGGACUGAGACACGGCCCAAACUCCUACGGGAGGCAGCAGUGAGGAAUAUUGGUCAAUGGAGGAAACUCUGAACCAGCCAAGUCGCGUGAAGGAAGAAUGUCCUAAGGAUUGUAAACUUCUUUAGCGAGUGAGUAAGGACUUCCACGUGAUGGGAGUUUGAAAGUAGCUCGAGAAUAAGUAUCGGCUAACUCCGUGCCAGCAGCCGCGGUAAUACGGAGGAUACGAGCGUUAUCCGGAUUUAUUGGGUUUAAAGGGUGCGCAGGUGGUCUUGCAAGUCAGUGGUGAAAAGCUGAGGCUCAACCUCAGCCUUGCCGUUGAAACUGUAAGACUUGAGAGUACAUGAUGUGGGCGGAAUGCGUAGUGUAGCGGUGAAAUGCAUAGAUAUUACGCAGAACUCCGAUUGCGAAGGCAGCUCACAAAGGUAUAUCUGACACUGAGGCACGAAAGCGUGGGGAGCGAACAGGAUUAGAUACCCUGGUAGUCCACGCCGUAAACGAUGAUUACUCGAAGUAUGCGAUAUGACAGUAUGCUUCCAAGCGAAAGUGAUAAGUAAUCCACCUGGGGAGUACGCCGGCAACGGUGAAACUCAAAGGAAUUGACGGGGGCCCGCACAAGCGGAGGAACAUGUGGUUUAAUUCGAUGAUACGCGAGGAACCUUACCCGGGCUUAAAUUGCAGAUGAAUUACGGUGAAAGCCGUAAGCCGCAAGGCAUCUGUGAAGGUGCUGCAUGGUUGUCGUCAGCUCGUGCCGUGAGGUGUCGGCUUAAGUGCCAUAACGAGCGCAACCCUUAUCGUCAGUUACUAACAGGUCAAGCUGAGGACUCUGGCGAGACUGCCGUCGUAAGGCGAGAGGAAGGUGGGGAUGACGUCAAAUCAGCACGGCCCUUACAUCCGGGGCGACACACGUGUUACAAUGGUAGGGACAGCGAGCAGCCAUCUGGCGACAGAGAGCUAAUCUAUAAACCCUAUCCCAGUUCGGAUCGGAGUCUGCAACUCGACUCUGUGAAGCUGGAUUCGCUAGUAAUCGCGCAUCAGCCAUGGCGCGGUGAAUACGUUCCCGGACCUUGCACACACCGCCCGUCAAGCCAUGGGAGUCGGGGGUACCUGAAGAGCGUGACCGUCACAGGAGCGCUUGAGGGUAAAACUGGUGACUGGGGCUAAGUCGUAACAAGGUAGCCGUACCGGAAGGUGCGGCUG